ACACCGGCAGCUCAAGUGGUAGCCGCUUUUAUUGGGGCUAAAGCGUCCGUAGCCGGUCUGAUAAGUCUCUGGUGAAAUCCCACAGCUUAACUGUGGGAAUUGCUGGAGAUACUAUCAUGACUCGAGGUCGGGAGAGGCUGGAGGUACUCCCAGGGUAGGGGUGAAAUCCUGUAAUCCUGGGAGGACCACCUGUGGCGAAGGCGUCCAGCUGGAACGAACCUGACGGUGAGGGACGAAAGCCAGGGGCGCGAACCGGAUUAGAUACCCGGGUAGUCCUGGCCGUAAACGAUGUGGACUUGGUGUUGGGAUGGCUUCGAGCUGCCCCAGUGCCGAAGGGAAGCUGUUAAGUCCACCGCCUGGGAAGUACGGCCGCAAGGCUGAAACUUAAAGGAAUUGGCGG
rnacentral:rRNA from 1 species